UUGCGGCCAAAUCAGGUUGAAACACCGGUUCCCGUACGAUCACCAAAGUUAAGCAACACCGAACCUGGUCAGUACCUAGAUGGGUAACUGCUUGGUAAUACCAGGUUCUGUAUG